rnacentral:rRNA from 1 species
GAUGAACGCUGGCGGCGUGCCUAAUACAUGCAAGUCGAGCGAACGGACGAGAAGCUUGCUUUUCUGAUGUUAGCGGCGGACGGGUGAGUAACACGUGGAUAACCUACCUAUAAGACUGGGAUAACUUCGGGAAACCGGAGCUAAUACCGGAUAAUAUUUUGAACCGCAUGGUUCAUAAGUGAAAGACGGUCUUGCUGUCACUUAUAGAUGGAUCCGCGCUGCAUUAGCUAGUUGGUAAGGUAACGGCUUACCAAGGCAACGAUGCAUAGCCGACCUGAGAGGGUGAUCGGCCACACUGGAACUGAGACACGGUCCAGACUCCUACGGGAGGCAGCAGUAGGAAAUCUUCCGCAAUGGGCGAAAGCCUGACGGAGCAACGCCGCGUGAGUGAUGAAGGUCUUCGGAUCGUAAAACUCUGUUAUUAGGGAAGAACAUAUGUGUAAGUAACUGUGCACAUCUUGACGGUACCUAAUCAGAAAGCCACGGCUAACUACGUG